UGACGUCCUUCACAACCCCCACUACCAAAUUUUUGGUAGCGGUGGGACAGUGGAUAUGAGUUUUCCUCUAGCACUUUUUUGCGCUAGGAGUGACUUGAAAUUCAAGAUCGGUUAAGCUAGGAUGAAAGCCUACUUGAACAUCAUCAAAACGUGAUAAUAUGGGGAUUCGUCUCUAUUGAAGCGUUGAUACGUAAUUUUCAAGUUCAAGGUUUCUAUUCGUUCCGUAAGGAGGCCUAACGAUUCAACCGUCGCCAGGCGCCGUAAAAACGCGUAUACCUGAAC
rnacentral:misc_RNA from 1 species